UACGAACUGUGCGAACGUUAUUCGGAAUCACUGGGCUUACAGGGUGCGUAGGCGGCUAUUCAGGUCAGGUGUGAAAGCCCCCGGAUCAACCGGGGAACUGCGCUUGAAACCGAGUGGCUCGAGUCAGCUAGAGGUACACGGAACUUCCAGUGGAGCGGUGAAAUGUGUUGAUAUUGGAAGGAACACCGGAGGCGAAAGCGGUGUACUGGGGCUGGUCUGACGCUGAGGCACGAAAGCCAGGGGAGCGAACGGG
rnacentral:rRNA from 1 species